rnacentral:rRNA from 1 species
GAUGAACGCUAGCGAUAGGCUUAACACAUGCAAGUCGAGGGGCAGCACAAGGUAGCUUGCUAUCUGGGUGGCGACCGGCGCACGGGUGCGUAACGCGUAUGCAACUUGCCCUAUACAGGAGGAUAACCCGUCGAAAGACGGACUAAUACUGCGUAUGCUCACAACUUGGCAUCAAGUGGUGAGGAAAGAAAUUCGGUAUAGGAUAGGCAUGCGUUCCAUUAGCUUGUUGGUGAGGUAACGGCUCACCAAGGCAACGAUGGGUAGGGGAACUGAGAGGUUUAUCCCCCACACUGGUACUGAGAAACGGACCAGACUCCUACGGGAGGCAGCAGUGAGGAAGAUUGGUCAAUGGGCGCGAGCCUGAACCAGCCAAGUCGCGUGAAGGAUGACUGUCUUAUGGAUUGUAAACUUCUUUUAUACGGGAAUAACAAGAGUAACGUGUGACUACCUGCAUGUACCGUAUGAAUAAGCAUCGGCUAACUCCGUG